CGCAAAUUUAUGUGGUUUUAAUUGUAUUUUAUUGUUGUAUUGUUUAUUGUAUUAAGUGAUUGGCCAAACAAGCGGCCUUAUCACUGAAUUAAAACUAAAACUUAAAUAACUAACGCAGUGUACAAUGACAAAACGGAUCAACAGAAUCUAGUAGGUAGGUGCCAGUCAAAGAAAAUGUAACGCUGAUUAAAUUUACGGGCCAUCGCAGUCAUUGGGUCGUUCUCGCUAUAUGCACGUCUUGUAAGGUCAGUUCUUAUUAGUCUGCCCGACAGACAAAGAGAGCGAAAUUUACAGGCGAGGGGCAUCCCAAGUAGCAGAGCCGAAGUUUUUCAGAGAUUUUUCUGUGUGCCAAAGCGAGAUGCCCUGUCUUCUCUCUCCAGAUUUUGGACAGCAAACCGCUGCGCGUGUAGAGGUGUGUGCGUGUGACGAAAAACGAUGGAUGAAAAACGCGAGGAGCGGGGUCCGAAGUCUUUCGUUGGUCACACACACAUGCAUCUACCGUUGGAUUGCGCUACACCGAGUCUACCCAUCUCUCUCGAUCUACCAUGAUUUUUUCUGCUAUCGCACUCAUCUGGGAGUUAGGCAUCCUCAGUCUGCCCAGAACUUUCGUUGUGGAAGGAUGUGCGGGAGUGAUGUGCGAUUUCUUGUGUCCCCAACUAUCCUUGUUUACGUUUUGCGCAGUGUUGCUUCUUCUUCCAUUGUGGAAUGAUUUAGCCUAGCAAAUUGUUGAGUUACAGGUGCAUGCGCCAUUCAUCAACGCCUACCUGUUGCCAUCAUCAACAAUCUUCAAAGUGGGUGACGGAAGGAAAUUGUUUUUCAGUUUUAAAAUAUUAAGGUAAGUGUUGCUCUCAUCAUAUACGUAAAACUAUCCAAAGUAAUACGUAUUACAUACAUUAAUUAUUGGUUUAUUUUUAUUGACACCGCUCAGCACAACUCAGCCACAAAACAACGCACUGGAUUACGCUAAGAACCUGUCGAAACGCGGGCGCGGUAGAAGAAAGGAAGAACGAGAGGAUGAAAAACUAAAGUCGGCGCGCAGCUCUGAUGGUACCCCGUACGCGGUAAGAAGAAAAAAGAUCGAGAGGAGGAAGAACGGUAAAUUUGGAAGGGGGUGAACGUUCUGCCGUCUACACAGUGUGAGUAUGCCAAAGCACGUGUUGGAAGGGAGAGAAAAAGUAUGGAAUAAACCGCAUGCGAAUGUGUGCAUACAGCAAAAGUAAA